rnacentral:rRNA from 1 species
GACGAACGCUGGCGGCGUGCUUAACACAUGCAAGUCGAACGGAAAGGCCCUGCUUUUGUGGUGUGCUCGAGUGGCGAACGGGUGAGUAACACGUGAGUAACCUGCCCUUGACUUUGGUAUAACUUCAGGAAACUGUGGCUAAUACCGGAUAGGAGCUCCUGCUGCAUGGUGGGGGUUGGAAAGUUUGGGCGGUUGGGGAUGGACUCGCGGCUUAUGAGUGUGUUGGUGGGGUAGUCGCUUAACAAGGCUUUGGGGGGUAGCCGGCCUGAGAGGGUGACCGGACACAUGGGGAGUGAGACAGGGCACAGACGCCUACGGGAGAGAGGAGUGGGGAAUAUUGCACAAUGGGCAGAAGUCAGAUGGAGCAACGGCGCGUGCGGGAUGACGGCCUGCGGGGUGUAAACCGCUUUCGCCUGUGAAGGAGCGUGAGUGACGGUAAUGGGUAAAGAAGCACCGGCUAACUACGUG